CACACGCGAUCAUCUCUGGAGCGCUCACUUGGUGCCAGGCGCUCUGCUCUGCCCCUUGCAAGGACCGCGGGGUCUGAUCCUCAGCACAGCCCUGGGUGCGGGAGUCAUCAGCCUGAAGAAGUGGGUGCCACGACCCAAAAUAAGGAAGGAAGGGAGGGGCCUCCUGGGCCUGCCCUCCAAGGAUGUGCCCAGUGUUGUGACUCAGCAGCCACCUCCUUUCCUGGAUGGGGGGUACAAGGGCAGGUUGGUCAUCUUCGCCCUUGGACAAUCUCUUAUCAUGGUGCCUGGGGACCUGUGACCUACGGCCGGCCAGUCAGAAGUUCUGGUGGCCUGGGACUUGCUAGUGCACCUGCAGCGGGGGCACCUUGUGGGACUGAGCCCUGAAGGCUGCAGGGUCUGCCCCUCACUCCAGGGGCCCAAAUGGACACCUCGGACUUGGGGGAGCCCUAACAGACAGGCUGACACCCUCCUGGAACAGAGAUGAAUGCAAAUUGAUGCUUUCUUCAUGGCUGGUGCAAAGAUAAAGUUCAGAAAUGCUGUUAUAAUGACUACAGAUUCCCAGUAAUUGAGGCUAAUGUAUUCAACAAAUGCA